rnacentral:lncRNA from 1 species
UAUAUAUAUAGAGUAGUGCUGCUGUGCUCUCAGGAGCACGGAGGCCAUUCUCCUGAGCCAUUUUCGAUGAUGGAGUUUCCAAAUCGACGAUUGGCUCCGUUAGACUUGAUCUAGCGUAUUUGAAGUUUCUAAAAAAUAAUUUUGCAAUUUUUCGAUAUCAUUUACCUAGCAAUCGAAAGGAUUCAAAAUCAAUAAUUUUUAACGGCUGAAAAUAAAAAUCCUAUAAAAAAAUGGUGAUAUAGCACUAAAAUUUUCGAUCAGAUAUUGAUUUUGUUGUAGAUAGUAUAAAAAAUUUUGUAUCAAAAUUUCAACUGAUUUGAAUACUUCUACACCGUUAAACUUGAAAACGGCAGAUAUCAACCAUUAAAAAUUAUGAAUUUUGAAUCCUUUCGAUCACUAGGUAAAUGAUAUCAAAAAAUCGCAAAAAAUUAUUUUCUAAAAACUUCAAAUGUGCUAGAUCAAAUCUAAUGGAGCCGAUCGUCGAUUCGAAAAUUUCAUCAUCGAAAACGGCUCAGGAGCAUGGAGGCCUCCGUGCUCCUGAGAGCACAGCAGCCCUACACAGGUGGUGCAAUAUGUGGGACACUAUGACAAUAAUAAUAUGUAUAUCUCUAUAGGAAAUUUUGAUCAUGUACAUAAUUAUGUUGUAUAACCCAUAUGUAGUUUAUUAAUCCCAAGAUAUCAAUUAACCUAAUUCAACCUCAUUCAACCCUCACUCAGGGUCUGGUCAAGUUCUCAAUUAAUUGCUCGUCUCCACUGACACAACAGAAUCUACGAUCCUAUUUGACUUUGUCCGUAUAAUUAGUGCACGUACAUGCAUUUUAAUGAUAGUAAUCCAUGCAUAUAUAUAUAUAUAUAUAUAUAUAUAUAUAUAUAUAUAUAUAUAGAGAGAGAGAGAGAGAGAGAGAGUAGGGCUACUAUACUAUUAUGAGUAUAGAACCCUUAGUACUCAUAAGUUGUUUUCAAUGUUAGGGUUUUCGAAUCAACGAUCCACGCCGUUAAACAUGAUCUAGAAUAUUUGAAACUUCUAGAAAAUAAAUUUCGUAAUUUUUCGAAAUCAUUAUAAAGUCCAUCAAGCGGGUAUAAAAUAAACGGUCAAAAUCGAACUACAAUAUCCUAAAAAUGGAUGAUCGGAUCUUUCAAUUUAAGAUCGGAGUUAUUGAUCUUUAUUUAGGUAGUGAAUAGAAUUUUCUAUCAAAACUUCAACCCAUUCCAAUUCUUUUACACCGUUAAACUAGCAAAUAUUUCAUACCGGCCGUUAAAAAUUGUCAAUUUUAUGAGCUUUUGAUCGUAGGGUAAAUGAUAUCGAAAAAUUAUAAAAUUUAAUUUUUAUAAGUUUUAAAUGCUCUAAAUAAUGUUUAACGGUAUGGAUCGUCGAUUCGAAAGCUCGAUCAUCGAAAACAACUUAUGAGUACGAAGUCGAACGUACUUAUAAGAGUAUAGUAGCCGGACUCUAUAUACAUAUUAUAUAAUGGAUUUGUGCAAUAAACAUAGUAGUAUUCAGUGUAACAGCAAAAAAGAACAAAUUUUAUUAACCAAGAGCCACUAAUAAUAAAUAGUAAUAUUUUAUGUGCGUUGGACUUUUCUAAUAGAAUCCAAUUUCCAUCUUGAUUGGGCUAUGUGAUUCAUCAUGUUACUGAAUCUCAAAAUUGCGUUUAUUAUAGAAGUUUUUUGCUGAUACUUUUGUGGACAAUGGAUAUAAUUAAUAGGGCCCAUAAGAAAGAAUAAUAACACGUUUUUUAUUCUUUUUUUUUUUUUUUUUUUUUAUAUAUAUAUAUAAUAUAUAUUAUAUAUUAUAUAUAUAUAUAUAUAUAUAAAUUUAUGUGAGAAUUCGAAUAAGUUGAAUUUUUGAUAGAACAAUGAUACACAAUUGUUUGGUGUUACAAAAAGAAGUUUGCAUGCAUUAAUUUGCAAUUGCAUACCUAAUACGGUAAAUGUAGUGUAUUCUACGUAGUUUCUUGAAUAGGAAACACAUGAAAUAAAUUGUGUUUGCAGUGAAAUAGUCAAUAAUGUUUAGACACCAUUAUAUAUGUAUAUAUAUAUAUAUAUAUAGGGUCAAAUUUUAACGGAGGUAAAAAUGACUACUAUUUUAUAAUACGUCGAGAAAAUGUCUUUAAGAAUUAUAAGUUAUUAACACAGACAUUUAAGUUUCCUCCACUUGCCAAAAAAAAAAAAAAAAAAAAAGAAUAAAAACGUGUUAUUAUUCUUUCUUAUGGCCCUAUAAUUAUAUCCAUUGUCCACAAAAGUAUCAGCAAAAAACUUCUAUAAUAAACGCAAUUUGAGAUUCAAGUAACAUGAUGAAUCACAUAGCCAAUCAAGAUGGAAAUUGGAUUCUAUUAGAAAAGUCCAACGCCACAAAAAUAUUACUAUUUAUUAUUAGUGCUCUUGGUAAUAAAAUUUGUUCUUUUUUCUGUUUACACUGAAUACUACUAUGUUUAUUGCACAAAUCCAUUAUAUAAAUGUAUAUUAGAGUCCGGCUACUAUACUCUUAUAAGUAACGUUCGACUUCGUACUCAUAAGUUGUUUUCGAUGAUCGAGCUUUCGAAUCGACGAUCCAUACCGUUAAACAUUAUUUAGAGCAUUUAAAACUUAUAAAAAUUAAAUUUAUAAUUUUUCGAUAUCAUUUACCCUACGAUCAAAAGCUCAUAAAAUGACAAUUUUUAACGCCGGAUGAAAUAUUUGCUAGUUUAACGGUGUAAAAGAAUUGGAAUGGGUUGAAGUUUUGAUAGAAAUUCUAUUCACUACCUAAAUAAAGAUCAAUAACUCCGAUCUUAAAUUGAAAGAUCCGAUCAUCCAUUUUUAGGAUAUUGUUCGAUUUGACCGUUUAUUUUACCCGCUUGAAUGGACUUUAUAAUGAUUCGAAAAAUACGAAGAUUAUUUUUAGAAGUUUCAAAUAUCUUAGAUCUCAUGUUUAACGGCGUGGAUCGGUUGAUUCGAAACGCCUAACAUUGAAAACACUUAUGAGUACUAAGGGUUCUAUUACUAUAAUAGUAUAGUAGCCCUACUCUCUCUCUCUCUCUCUCUCUCUAUAUAUAUAUAUAUAUAUAUAUAUAUAUAAUUGAGCUCCUAUGCUUUUAAAAAGUACAAAGUCAUUGGUGCUUGUAAGUUUUCGGCCCUUGGAUUAACAGAUGUGCGUUAGAGAUGAUGUGGGCCCCCUAGGGUUGAUGGGUGGUGGUUGAAUAGUUAUAUCUAACGGGUAAAAAUGAUCAAAGGAUAGAUCUAACGGUAAAAAUUUACAAGUACCCAAAUGCUUGGUACUUUUACAGCAUCAUAGCCGGACUCUAUUAUAUAUAUAUAUAUAUAUAUAUAUAUAUAUAUAUAUGGAGUAGAGCUAGAAUACUUGUAAAGUAUAACCCAAGUAAUACUUGUGUGUUUUUAGCCCUUGGAUGGAGAGAUUGAGGUUGAGAUGAUGGUGGUGUCGUGAUGGAGUGGGUAGGUGGAAUAGUGUUUGAUCCAAGGACUAUUAGUAAUUAAAAGUAGAUGGCUAAAACCACACAAGUAUCACUUGGUGAUACUUGUAAAAGUAUUCUAGCCCCACUAUAUAUAUAUAUAUAUAUAGUAUUAUAUAUGCAUGGAUUACUAUCAUUAAAAUGCUAUGUACGUGCACUAAUUAUACGGACAAAGUCAAAUAGGAUCGUAGAAUUCUGUGUGUCAGUGGAGAACGAGCAAUUAAUUGAGAACUUGACCAAGACCCUGAGUGAGGUUGAAUGAGGUUAAUUGAGGUUAAUUGAUAUCUUGGAUUAAUAAACUACAGUAUGGGUUAUACAACAUAUUAUGUACAUGAUCAAAAUUUCCUAUAGAGAUAUACAUAUUAUUAUUGUCAAUAGUGUCCCACAUAUGCGACCACCUGUGUAGGCUGCUGUGCUCUCAGGAGCACGGAGGCCUCCAUGCUCCUGAGCCGUUUUCGAUGAUGAAAAUUUUCGAAUCGACGAUCGGCUCCAUUAGAUUUGAUCUAGCACAUUUGAAGUUUUUAGAAUAAUAAUUUUUUGGCGAUUUUUUGAUAUCAUUUACCUAGUGAUCGAAAGGAUUCAAAAUUCAUAAUUUUUAAUGGUUGAUAUCCUGCCGUUUUCAAGUUUAACGGCUGUAGAAGUAUUCAAAUCAGUUGAAAUUUGAUACAAAAUUUUAUACUAUCUACAACAAAAUCAUAUCUGAUCGAAAUUUUAGUGCUAAUUAUCACCAUUUUUUCUAAGGAUUUUUAUUUUCAGCCGUUAAAAUUAUUGCAUUUGAAAUCCUUUCUCAAAAUUAUAAAAAAUGUCAAAUUUUUAUUAAUUCACCUAGAUUCUCUAUCCCAUUUCGAUUGUAGGUAAAUAUAUCAAAAAUCUGACAAUCUAUUUUAGAAACUUCAAAGUACGCUACGAUCAAGUCCCUAACGGAGCAAUCGCGACAUUGAAACUCCUCAUCGAAAUGCAGGAGAAUGGCUCCUGUCCUGAGAGCCAGCAGCCAACUCUAUAUAUAUUAUAUAUAUAUAAUAUAUAUAAUAUAUAUUUUCGUUUAUCGUCCAAUCUUCUAGAACACAAAUAAAUGAGAGUAUAUAUCCACUAAAAUUGCUAAUAUCCCCUUGAGGAUUUCUUGUCUCUUUUCGAGAAAUCAAAAUUCUUCAGCCAAACACUCCCGUAGGUUAUGUUUAGAUUCAAUCUAGGUCGACUACAAAGCCAUAAAAUAAGAUAAAAACAUAUGAACUAACUGAAUUUUAUGUUUAUUUGAAGUAACUAUCUAAUCUUAAAAAAAGUUGAUUUUACUACAUAAUGUUUCGAUUUAUUUUUGAUUCAUUUUCAAAUUCUUUUUUUUUUUCAUUAUUUAGGUGCAUCCACACAUAUAUUCCUACACCGAUACCCAUUUUGAAUUUAAUAUUCAAUCACCUGCAGUUUUAUAUUAAAAUAUAAAAUGGUUGGAAUAAAUCAAAAGAAAUGAAUAAAAGUAUGUGCACAAUGUUCGGGAUGAACUACGCUGGAUAAUAAUGUUUUAGAACCAAAUAAAAAAACUAAAAACAUGGAUAGUGAAAAAUCAAAAUUUCUAAGCUUGAAUAGUUAUUUUUCUUCUUUUUUUUUUUUGAGAGAGAUAGGUAACACGCUACCCGCUUCGUUUAUUUCAUUUAGAAAUAAACUUAGCUGAAAUGUGAAUAACUAGUCAACUAAGGAUUCGAACUUGGGUUUCGAAUAUCAACCACCUAAACUGUUUGCCAGUUGCUCUAGGGACAGUCGUUGAAUAGUUAUUUCAACUUACUAAAAAGUUAUUUUACUUACGUACACAUAUCGCCUCCUAGAAAGUACUAUAAUGCAUACAGAUAUAGUAAUUCAGGUACGAAAGUUGCAUCACAGUGGCAACUUCAUUUCGCUCGCAAUGAAUCGUAAUCGUCAUUAUUUCAAUAUACUACUUCUAUCUUUUNNNNNNNNNNNNNNNNNNNNNNNNNUAUAUAUAUAUAUAUAUAUAAUUUUCUAUAUAUAUAAUUCUCAGCCGUUUUUGGUAACACCAAACACUGUCGUUCAAUUUGUGAGAAUUAUAUAUAUAUAAUUCUCACAAAUUUUCUCACAUAAAUUAUAUAUAUAUAUAUAAUGAGUCUGGCUGUAGUGCUUUUAAUAACACCAAACACUUGGUGUUAUCAAAUUUUUUACUAUUAGAUCUUUCCCUUUGACUAAUAACACCCUUUAAAUCAUAUUCAUCCAUUAAAUUUCAAAGGAUCACUAUCAUCCUAACCCUUCAAAUCUUUAUCCAAAGGCCAAAAACCUACGAACAUCAAUAACUUUGUGCCGCUAGAAACAUUCUAGCCCAAUUCUAUGUAUAAUCCUAUUAUAGUGCUUCUAAUAGCACCAAACACUUUCUACUAUCAAAUUUUUCACAAUAAGAUCAGAUUUUUUUACCAAUUCCACAGCUAUAAAAACAAAUAGCGAAAUAAAAAUAAAUUUUACCAAAUGUUAAUUAUAUAAAAUUUUAUUUCAAUCUGAACUUUACCUUCGCUAAAUCAAACAUAAAAGAUGGAUGGGGUGAUCUUUCAUUAGGGAGAGUCCCCGCCAAAUCUCUUCUCGUUUUGUUUUGUUUUGUUGUUUUAAUCCUCUCUCUUAAAGGGCCAAAAUGGGCCCACGCUUCAAUGGGCCAAGGAUUCUCUGGGCCUAGUAUUAGUUGUAGAUCACCACUUCUACUACAUAUUAAUACCACUGUCGACCUCUCUUUUUCUCUCUCUCUCUCUCUCUAUCUCUCUCUCCUCUCCCUCUCUCUCCAAAACCGUGCUCUUGUUUAUGUGAGAAGGGGAGUGAACUGCUUCUUCUUCUAUUCACGAAUCGUUUAAGUUUUCGAUCUGAAACCCUUUUUUGAUUUGGAUUACUGCUUGUGAUAAUAGGGAGUGGAGAUUUUGGAGAUAAGAUUUGCGAACCCUAAGUUUUCAAUCAUUAAUUUCUUCUUUUUUCUGUUUUUUUUUUUAUUUAAUUUGUAGAAUUUGAGAGAAUAUGGCUGAUGCUGCUGCUGCUGCUGCUUAUGAAGUGGUUUACUCAGGUUUAGUACUUUUUCUCUUAAAAUUAUCGUUAUUUUUUUUAGUGAAAAUGCAAAUUAGAUAAAUUCAUUGACACUCCCUCAACAUUGAGUCAUUUCCAUCAAUUAAACUGGGGGUUUUGAUCAAAUCUCGCGGUGAUGAUAUGAAACUCUGGGACUGCGGAUUUUGCUAAUUGUCGUCUAUUUUCACUAAAUUGAAGAAUCUCUGGUUCAAUUGCGGAAAACAAUUCAAAUCAAAAACGGCUAAAACUCGCCUUAAAAUAUAAAUCUAAAACAUUUGAUGUGAUCUAGGCCACUUAAAAGGUCUACAUUUCAAAAAUUAUAAUUGCUGUUCACAUUUUUCUUGUGCGACGAAUCACAGGUUUUUUAAUAUGAUUUUUGGUCACUAUUUGAUGCCUAAUUACUAGGUUUUCGUAUGUAAGCUCUUUCGAGGUUGUAGAUCAGAUUUAACAGUUUAUGUUUAAAAUUUCGAUUUUACAGUAUCGAGCAUAGAGUUUUCAGAUCCCCAUACUUAUAUCGGAGUUGAGGGGGUCUUCGUACAUUUUUUCCUUCACUUUUCUUUUUAGGUACAAUAUAUUUGCUAACGAAAAAUUACUUCAUUUAUAGGUCUAUUAUUUAGCAGACCGCGACCAGUAGUCUCGAAUCAGCUAUCCAGCAGGGUCAAGUUCCAGUUUGUCAAGGUUCUUUAAAUUAAGAAUUACUAUUUUCCAGUAAUUUUAACAUAUUUGAGCAUUGUUUUUUUUUAUUUUUGUUUUACGGAUUAUAUCUGUUGCAUCUGCAGAUUUCACGGCCGCUAGUUCGACAAUCAUUUCCAUUAUCCAGGCUCGUAAGAUGUGCGACAGCAGGAAGAAAUGGUCGUGAAAGGUUAUUAUCUGAUGAGGGGUUUGAACAUGAGCCUUUUUGGUCAAGUCUGGUGAAGGAUGCAGUCUGGUAUUCCAUAAGUUUCUGUUCUGUCUGUAGAUUUUGUUUUUUUUUUUUUUUUAAGUUGUAUAUUUGGCAAAAUUAAUUUUUUGGCUUCUUUGUUACCUGUAGGGGGUUUAGAGCGCUUGCUGUUUUUCUAGCUGAACAGCCAAGUCAGUUGAAAUACAUAGAGUGGCCAACCUUUCAAAGCACGGUAUGUUUGUCGUGACCAGGCUGUUUGGAUGCAUGAAAAUCUUGUUCGGAAAAUUUUGUCUGUUUAGACGAGGGUCUUGCAAUAAUUGAUAGAUAGGAGUACGAUUAAAAUGUAGUCUUCAAAUGACAUAAGAUGUGCGGCAUCUAUGUCAUUUUCUCAGAAAAAGAUAAAUCCCCCUAGUACAAAUUAUCACAUGUUUCGGCAUCCAAACAAGAAAAAAAUUAAAAAAAGAGUGGAAAAAGGAAAAUUUUUCAUUGAAUUUAACACUUUUUUUGUGAAUCUUCGUAAUUUCUAGCUGAACUAUUGCUGCCUUCCUAAGAUAUAUAGUUGGUGGAUGUAAUUUCAUGUCUUUUAUGACUUCAAUAACUGAAUGCAUCUCAUACUAAAUGGCCAUAAUACCUAAAUGGGAAUGCAUCACGCGCUGUUAAAUUUAUCAGAUUUACUGCUUGUCGGUAUACAUAUACAUUGUGCACAAAGUUGCCUUAUACUAUGUCAGUAAGUAUCAUAACGUAGAGUAGAUAUAUCCAUGCAACAUUUCUAAUUCAUCAGUAGCAGCUGAUACAUUUCUGAAAUCCUUUAGGAGUGGAAAAUUUUUUGGAUUAAUUUUAGUAGAGUAAAUUUAACAUUCUAAUAUAGACACUGCUGAUUGAAGCAGAAAUCAUAGGAGGCCUCGUUUUGUAUUUCUAAUGAUAUUUUAUUUUCAAAGUUGAGUUCUGGUGAGUAACUAUUGCUGCUUCAUGCUAGAAAUCAGAACUCGUAAGAGGUGAACCUGAUUUGUCCUGGUGAUUAUGUCAGUUCACAUACAGUUAAAUAUUAUUGGAAAGAGAUGAAUUCUGAAGAUUCUAUGCUUUUUCUUGAGUUUUUUUUCUUGCUAACGAUAGCAGGAAUUUCUCUAUGUACCAUCCUUUCUCUUUUAUCUUAUCUUAGCUUUUUCGAAGUAUAAUUCUAAUCCAUAUUUAACUUUGUUGAUCUGCCUCCUUUUGUUUUCAUUGCUACGGCUUUAAACAUCUUAUAUGCUCAUGAAUUACUGGCCUGCAAAAUUCUCUUUUUCUCCUGAUUCAAUCAAACAAUUCCGGUGAUUUGCAGUUGAAGACGGCUUGCCUCACUCUUAUCCUCGUAGCGUUGCUCAUCGUAGCUUUGUGCUCUAUUGAUUCAGCCCUCUGUUACAUAUUGGCUUGGCUUCUCAGAAAAUCUGCAUAAACUGUUGGUAUUGUAUCUCCCUCAUUUAAUACUUUGUAUUGCUUAGUGAUGCUUGUAGUUAAACGUCUUGCCUGAUUAGUUUGCUUGUAGUUUUAACAAGAUAAUUACUUGUAGUGAAAACCAUAACGCAUGCAAGUUUGGAAGUAAAUUUGUUGUAAUGAAUUUUAUGUGCCUAUGGGCUGAUCGUCACUUUAUGUAUUUAAACAGGUGGUGGAUCACAAUUUCGGAGGUUGGCUUUUCAUUGUGUGGCGCCUUAGGGACUGUUCCUCAUUUUGAUGCUUUUGCUGGAUAGUGAAUAGAGCAGUUUUUUUUUUUUUUUUUUUCAAAAAAAAAGAAAAGGGAUGAUCAGAGUUCAAUGGCUCAGUAUGAUUAUGUGUUUGUUUUGUAGGAUUUAUCCGAGUUGUUAUCUGUUGGCAAAAUGGACGUUACUUUGAUUGCAAAAAGAAUGUGUAAAUGAACCUCUAUAGGAGUAAAAGGAUUUUGGAGUUUAGUCUGAUUUCUAUAUUGACCAUCUAUAUGAUGCUGCAGAACAUGAAUGGUGGAAAGUUCGGUGUAAUAAAUAUGAAUGUUUUGCGGAACAUAACAAAAUGAAAUGAAUUACAAAUGCAAAAAUGAAAAUCAACUUGCACUCUGCCCCAUCAUUAGAAUUAUCAGAAGAAAUGAGAUUGUAUAACAUUAAAGAUUAGGUAUCCAACUGUAACAAUUGAAAGAUUGGAAAAGAUUGCAGAGCAAGAUCCACGAGGAAUACACAACAAGAUCACCAGUGUAUUGUGCCGCACAAUACACCGGACUACCUAAAACUUCCCUGUGGAGUAUAAAUCAUUCUUGAAGUGAAUAUGUUAUGAUUUUGCUGAUACAUAAGUUACAGAUGAACAAUAUAAGAACAAAAUAGCGGAAGAGCAGAAUCAUUCUACAAGGGAAAUACAGAGAGCGACAAGUGUUCCUAGUAACAAAGACAUCAACUGCAUUACAGUGCUUUUGAUAGUCGUCUUUCCAUCAUUCAUUUCUGGGAGUACUCCCGCGACUGCUAUGUAAACGAAGCCACCGGCGGUAAAUCCCUGAAGCGACAGUAGGAAUUUGUGUAAUUGAAUAACUUUUAAUAGUGAAAAUUCGAAAUAUAGGCUAUAGCUAAAGAUAGAGAAUAUUUACCUCAAUUAACGAGGAGUGCCCUGGAUCUUUUCCUAAAACCAAAGCCUGCAAAAUAGAAAAAAGAAAAAGAAAAAGGAACGCGCUACCUGCGUUGUUAUAUAUAUUUUUUAAAAUCAUUAGAGCGAGAAAUAAAUGGAAGUAGAUAACUCACUAGUGCAGUCCCAGCCAAUGCCACCAGUGCAGAAAGAAAAUUGAGAAACAGAGCUUUGGAGACCGUGAAUCCUGACCGCACCAAGAUUCCGAAAUCACCAACCUAGCCAAAAGGGCAAGUUAAUAACACCAAAUAGAUUAGCCCUUCCAUGUUACUCUCAUUACUGUACUAUUAUUGCAAGAUUUAUCUAAUAGAGUAUUAGUAAUACAAUUCAAGAUGACUGAAAUGAAAUGAAAUUUUGCACUAAAAGCAAGCACAAGAAACAUUUGCUACGAACAACUUGCUCAAGUUUUCAGAGAAGUGGUGGAGAAAAUAACCUCUUGAGGAAGUUCAUGAGCUAGCAGAAACAAUGUUCUAGACCACCCUCCAACCGAACCAUGCAGUAAAAAAGCGCUUCCCAGAGCCAUACCAUCGGUAAAAUUAUGCUGCAUUAUUCACACAUUUGAUCUCUGAAUUUUCAGAACAAUAUUGUAAACCUAAAAAUUCUGAAUGUUCAAUAUCACGCAAUAAAUCAUCACUCAACAAAGUAAGAAAAAUUUACGAUCAGCACUCACCACACCAUCAGAGAAAAGAUUAAGAUAGCCAAACACCAAGUUUGAGUGUGAAGAGUGAAGAUCUUUCUCAUGCUGUAAUGGCUUCUCCAUGGCAGUAGCAUUUGGAGCAUUUACAACUUCUCCAUCAGUUAUGUUGCCACCUCCAGAAGUGCUUCUCUGUUUUGAUGCUCGGAAAAAAGGGAAAAAAAACCUCAUCGUCAGAGUGAUUUGUCAGAUAUUAAACUCCUAAAAUCAAUUAAAAAAUAUAUGUUUUUGUCAUCAAGUGUAUGCAUGUAGGAACUAGACAGCAUAUCACAGCAUGCAUAUAGGAAAUAGACAACAUAUCAUAUUGAUGCGCUAAUUUCGGGUUUUUUGUAUAUCAUAAAGGGGGUAGAAAAAUGCUGCGUCAUAAUUGAGAACAGUUUCACGUGCAAAUCUGGGAUGUACCUUACGCAGAAGGGCUUUGUGUUCAGUAAGAUUGCCAUCAUUAACUUGUUCAUCAGCUUCAUCAACUGAAGCUUUUUGUGAUUGUGCAUCACCUAUGUCCCUAGUCUUGUCAUCAGUAUGCUUGGAAUUGAACUCAUCAUUGUUGUCAUCAUCAUCAUCGACUUUGUUGUGGUGUUUAUGGUGGUGGUGGUGGUGGUGGUGUCCAUGACUCAAAUGACUGGUCCCCUUUCUAGAAUUAUCUUCAACAUACCUUACAACCUUCUCAACAAGGAAAAAAAGUACAAUCCCAACUGCAAAAUGAAGGUUUAAAAUAGGAAACACGAUGAUUUUUUUCUUUUUCUUUUUUGAAGGGGAAACAAUGAAACUGUUACAAUGUAUAAUCAAGUAGAUCAUACAAGUAGUUAUCCAAUGGCAGAUAAUUGCAAAAAAGAAAAAAGAAAAAAAAAACUUUUUUGAAAUUUAACGAGUGAUGAAACAAGUGAUUCUUAUCACUGGUCAAAUUAAAAUUUAACAAGAUGGACAAAAGCAAAGAGAAGUAUAAUUAGCAUUGAUUUGGAAAGCUUCCCGUAUUUAACAGACAUGGAAGUGAUCCUUCUACAAUGGAACAAAACAAGCAUAGGAGGAAAAAUAGCAGCCGCAUGCUAACGUUCUCAUCGCUAAGGUACAUAAGCUACUGUUAGGCCUAGGCAGAGCUUCUGCAGAAGUGAUUUCUGUGUACAGUUGUUGGAAGAAAUACAAAAGAAGUAUAAUUGAUAGAGGCUCAGAAAUUCACUUUGGUUUUGACAGGAGGAAGUAUGGCCUUUUUGUUGUCAGAUACACAGCUCAUGCCUCUCGAAUGGUCACAGCAGUACCAAUACAAAUUCACUAAUCUAUGAACUAUAUGAACCUGAAGCUACAAAAGCUAAUUCUUAAACUCAUAUAAUUAUCACUACAAAACUUCAGCAGUAGUAUAUCUUGUACUUAGUGGCAUGCAAAGACAACAUAUACAAUCAUGAUCAAUUUAUGAUCAAACAUAGAUAAGCAUCACCAUUUAGGAUAAAUACCAUGAGGGUUCUAAGAUUGUAUGUUUGUUAACAAGCAAACUGCAAUAGUGAAAAAUCAAUCGCCUGCAUAGAGAUUUGUACCAGUUUAUAGCAAUUCAUUUUUAGGAUGUGAAGCGAGCUUCGUCAUUCAGAAUGUAUGAGCUCCAAAUGGUAACCUAAAUUAUUUUCCUUAAAGUGCCUUCAGAUAAUUAUAAUUGGACUUGAACUGAAGAAAGAAAGCUAAUAACCUAAAGUUUUAAAUGAAAUGCAGGAGACUUGUGAGGCCAGAAUAAAACCAAUUAUGAUUGAAAAGACAAAUACCAAGGAACAAGUACACAGUUCCAAGAUACUCACACAAAAUAGAUAAACCAAUAGAAAGAUCUUGUAAAGAAUGAGCAUGCGAGUGUCCGUGAUCAUGCUGAUGAUCAUGAUUGUCAUGCGAAUGAGAAUGCCCCCCACCUGAAAAAUGUCAAAAGAGCAGAUUAGGGGACAAUAAAGUACAUGCAGUAGAUCAACAUAUAUUAAGCACAAGCUGCAUGAAGAUACAUAUCUUUAUAUCAAGUAGAUUACGAGCAACAAAAAAAAAAAUAACGGGAAAGCAAUGAGGUAUAAUUAGUUGCCCAUCAUCCUUUCAUCCAUCCCUAUAACACUACAUCAAAGAGCAGCAGAAGCAACGAAUCUAUGCCAUGAAUGGUUAAUGUAAUACAAUAUGUUUGCUAAAUUUGAGGUAAAUUGAAAAAAAAGAAAAAAAGUCAAAGAACGCGUGAUAUAUAAAGUAACUAUGUAUCAUACCAAAUGCGUGUGGCAAUUGAUGAAGAAAAGCAUCCCCAAGCAUUGCCCCUGCCUGCAACCAAAUUGUCAAUCAAAAUGAGCGAACUAAUAAACCUCAAGCUCAUGGAUAUUUUUUAAAAAAUCGACGCAUCCAGUGUAGAAUAAUUUAAAAGCAGGCAUCACUACAAACUGAAUAGAUAUAAUUAAAUGUGCACUUACAAACUGAACCAACAAUUGAGUCAAGUAAGCAGAAAUGAUUUGGUUCAUAUUUUGGCUCAUUCUGUACUAAUUCACCUUAAAGCUAUUGGAUUUUGAUACCGAAAUUACGUUGUAAAACACUACAAGAGCAAGAUUCAAACUUGAAUUGGCCGAGGAUGAAUAAUCUUCACUAUGUAAAUUGUUUACAUCAACAAAAUUACAAAAGUGCUCUCCAGGAGUGAAAAAAAAAAAAAAAGGACUUUUAAAUUAUCUAGAAUUUCAACUGGGUACUCUUCCAAGAUAUCAACUAACACAGCAAAAGAGCUCUUCUAUAUCUAUAAUAUAACUUAAAACCCAUCCAAAGUUACUGUGGUAUUCAAUUUUCAUUAUUUUCAGCAGCUGUUCCAAAUAAUUGGCUUACCCCAAACAACGCCAAAGAAUCGACGACGCCCUUGGACGGCUUUCCCUGAACUGUAACAAAUCAAAAUUCCAAACAAUUGGAUAAUGCAUUAGCUAGAAGAAGAGGAGGAGGAAGAGGAGGAGCACAUAGAUUGAGUUAAAAUCACCUACAGAAGAUCAAAGGAAGGAGAAUGAGGCAAAUAAGCGACGCCAUGCUAACGAGAAGCGAGCACCCCAUUGCGCUUAACCAAACACCUUUAUCCCGUUCCCACCAAAAAAAAAAAAAAAAAAACCAACAAGAGCCAAUACUUCAAACCCCAAUUCCAACACAAUUAUAGAAAGAUCGCAUCUCUGACGAGGAAUUCACCUAAAGGAGAUGUCUCAGCAUCGAGAUCCCCGUGCGAGUGGUAAUGAUGAUGGUGAUGAUCGUCAUCCUGAUCGUGAUGGUGGUGAUGGUGAUUGUGCCCUAAUCCGUCGCGCAUCAGAUCCUCCUCCUCCGCGAGCUCUUCCGGAAGCUUCUGGCGCCGGAUCUCGGCAUCUUGAUCAUGGUGGUGGUGGUGGUGAUCGUCGUGGUGGUGAUGGUGAUCGAAUCCGGCGGGGGCGGAGAAGGGGCAAGCCCCCGAGUCCUCCGUGUGCGCGGCGACGACGACAGAAGCGGCGGCGGCGACGAGCAGGAGAAGGACGGGGCGGCCCCGCCGCGGCGGAGGCGAGGAGAGAGGCAUGCUUAAUGCGGUUACGGUUUAGGGUUAGGGUUAGGGUUAGGGUUAGGGUUAGGAGGAGGAGGAGCGUUUGCAAACGCCCUCGAGAGUAAUGAAGAGGACGAGGAGGAAGAGGAGGACGACGAUGCCCACGAUCACGCCGAAGGUGACCACAUCCAUCUUAAUCUCACCUCAUUUAUUAUUUAUUAUUUAUUAUUUAUUAUUAUUUUUAUAAUAAUUUACUUAUAUUUCGUUAUUAUUUAUCAUCUCUAAAAAAUUACUUAUACUUAUAUAUUUCCACAAACAAAUAUAUAAAGGAAAAAUGGCCCAAAAAUAGAUUACUAAAUUUUCCGUACGUUUUUUCUCUGUCACGCUCAGAUUUGAGAGAGAGAGAGAGAGAGAGAGAGAGAGAGAGUACUCUUGUUCGGAAACGCGAGAGAGAGAGUGAGAGAAGAUUCCUUGGAGUUCGUGAGAGUAGAUGUUGGGGUGGAGUUACCGCUCACCGGGGAGUGAGGUGAAACCCCUUCGUUAUCGGAAACGGGGACAACGAGCCCUAGUUUCUCUCCCUCUGUGUCUCGGCGGAGUACGGAGUUGGGAUCUGCUACAAGUUUGGCUGUUUAAAAAGAUACGUAUAACCCCCCAAAAAGAGGCUUAACUACACCCUCCUAAUUUAGUAUCAUAUGAUUUCAUUUUUCUCUAUUUAUUAGCUGUUUCAUUAAUAUUUCGUUAAAUUAUAUACAAAAAUUUUAAAUAUCCUAUCUAAAUUUAUCAAAUAUUCACUUUAAUACCUUUUAGUAGGAGGGGAUAAUAAAAAGAGAAAAAUAAAACCACAUCAUACUAAAUUAAUACACUUUAAAACAUAGGGUAUUAAAAUUAAAAAAAAAUACGAAAUCACACGGGUGGUAUUUAAAAUUUUUCUUUUUUUUGUUAUGUUAUAUAUACUUUUUUUUCCCCAAAGAUUAUUACUAAAUUUAUUUUCAUUUUAUUACUACUAAAUUUAUUUUCAUUUUAUUUAUUUUAUUUCUCAAAUACUAAUUACCAUCAUUUUUUAGCUGAUCUCUAUACUAUUGUGUGACAGUCAUCCAUCCUAUAACUACUCCCGCCCUAACACACUUAACUCUCUUAUCCUUUUGAAUCUAACCACCGCACAAAAUGUGUAAGUCGGAUUAAAAGCUUUAGUUCUAUUAUAUUUUAUAUAUAGGACUAACUGAGAUCCCAAAUAUUACCGAUAAAUAUGUUAUUUUGGAUGAAAAGUAACUAUGUCAAAAAAACACUGAUUAGGCAAUGAAAACAAAAGCAAAAUGAGCCUACCAAAUUGAUUCAUUAGAAGAUCUAUUAAAUUAUUUGUAACUAUUAUUAGGUACUUUUUUUUAAUUUCUAUAUCAAAAUAGGUUAAAUUUAUGGUCUGCUAUUUUCAACCAAUGUGUUUGAACAUAAUUGCUAGCUAGUGUAGAUACUAACACACAAAAAAAAGAUGGCUUAGUGAUAUUUUUGAAAAAAGUACACUCUAGGAAAUUAAAAAGAAAUUUAAAAUAUAGUAUACUGUUGUGUAAUUAAGCCUAUUAAAAACUAUAGUUAUAUUUUUUUAUGAAUUGCAUAAUUUAUUUUCCUAUAUCGCUUCUGAAACUAUUGAGUAGGUUUUUUUUUAACCCCUCCCACAUAAAUGCUUUUUAGAUGUUUGCAUCGCAUCUUGUAUCCAUUUGAUUAUAGACUUAUAGGUAAUAAACCAAAAAGAUAAAUAUGAAUAUUAUUAGACUUUCGAAGAAAUAAAUUUGAAAAUUUAAAUUCUGUAAAAUUUAUAUCUGCUAUUUGAUAUAUUUACAGGGAGUUGUAUCACAUUAACCCAUGAUUAUAAGAUGAUCAUGCAUGGGAUGCAUGGAGAAACCCGGUCCACGUGAAAGGGUCAUGAGGGACCUCGACCUCACUGCCCUUUACCUCCUCUCAUGCGCAAGAACUUAUUUAAAAACAUUUUGAAAGCUAAAAAGAGUAAAAAUUCAAAGUUUUUAUUUUUUAUUGCUAAACAAACAUCUCGGACUUAAAAAUUAUAAGUAAUCCACCCUUCUCUCCUAGGAUAGAUACAAGUUUAGAUAAAAGCAAGAAUUAGACUAAUUUUAUGUUUGAAUAAAAAUUGAGUUAUUCCUGAAAAUAAAAAAAAUAACGUUUGAUUAAGAAUUGAAUUGUUUUCUAAAAUAAAAAACAUAACAUUUGAAUAGAUAGGAUGAAAUAAAAAAAAAUAGUGGGUAGUUAUAAAUAAAAAAAAGAUGAUAAUACUCCUCUUAUUAAAUUUGAAUUUGAAAAAUUAAAUUUCAUAUUUAAAUUUUUAAAAUUUAAAAUAUAAAAUUCAAAAUUUUAAUUUUAAAUUUAAGAUCAAAACUAAAUUUACAAAAAAAUAUAAAAUAUCAAAUUUUAAAUUUAAAAAAUUUAAAAUCUAAAAUUUAAAAUUCAAAAUUUUAAAAAUUAUAAAUUUUAAUUUUAAAAUUAAAAUUAUAAAUUUUGCAAUUAAUUUAAAAUUCUCUCUCUCCUCCCCAAGCUUGUUCCUAGAACAAGCUUGUUCCACCAAAAGUGUUUUUAUUUGGAUAUAAGAAGGUGAAUAAGUACUUAUUCCCCUCCUUAUACCCCAACCAACACACUUCAGAGGCGAAAUUACAUAAAACCUCCUUGUCAAAAUUCAAUUUUUCACUUUCCCUCCUAUCAUUUAAAAACCUACCAUUUGCCUCCUUAUAAAAUGAAAAAUAUUCACUUCGCUCCCUACCGUUAGUAAUCUGUUAGGGUUCCAUUUAUAAAAUUUUAUUAUAUAUUUUUUUAUAUAAAAAAUGUCCUCAACCUUCUCUCCUGUGAACAUGAUAAAGGGCAAAAUGAUGAGGGACAAAAUGAUCAUUUUAUUAUUACAGUUCACACCGUAUCCCUCUGUAAACAUUUUUUAUUUUACAGAGGGCAAAGUGUAAGUUUUUAAAUGACGAAAAAAAAAAUGAAAAAUCGAAUUUUGACAUGAGCAUUUUUUGUAAUUUAGCCUUACUCUUUUUUAAGUUUUCACAAACUAGCUUUUUCCUACCAUAUAUAUUUGAAAUAUUAAAAGAGGAUAUAGUGUUGGCCUUUUCAACUGCUGUCACAACUAGUUGCUUAGUUAGACUUUAUACUCAGAAAAUCUAAUGUGUUUAUCUAAUGUGUUUUAAGUCCCACAUAUUAUUCCGCGUCACGGGCUAAUUCCACUGAAAAAACAUGAAAAUAACACUACACAUGAAAAGUAAUAUCCUCAUAAGAUAACAAGUACCACAUUUCAAUAAAAUCCACACAGGAAUACAAUUUAAGAAGGAAUUAUGUACAUGAAACUGUAACAAACCAACACAGUGAAGAGAUAUUAUGCUAAGGUGUCCUCAAACAACUGAAGCAAUCGCAUGAAGUAUAUUACACAAUCCAGUUAGCUCCUCCGAGUUAAAACUCCCUACGCAUACAUCUAAAUGUCAACCUACUCAAAGCACUAAUUCUCAAACCGUUAUCGACUUACGCGCUAUUAAACAAUACACAGCAAACAACUACUGUACAUCCACAGUAAACUGCGCACGCGCAACUCAACCGCCGCAACACGACCCUGACCCUGUCGGACAAAGAAAUUCGCAUUAUAUAUAAGUUUAUUAGUCACGCUACACGUAAAACACUUCAGGAUACAUUCUCAUUCUAUUCAGAUAAGGCACUCGCAAAAUAUGAAUUCUCGCAUCUAUACUCGGUGCACUUUUCCACAAGAUUGAAUCACUUUCGUGAGUAAAAUGGUUUCGAAUUAAAAAGUAUAAUAAGAGGUUUGCUUUGUAAGAAAAAUGAGCUUCGAAAUGACACAUAUGAGAUAUCAGAUAUUGGAGGUUGAGCACGGAAACAAAUAAUUUUGCAGGUGCAUCUGUGCAAUCCUCAAAAACAAGAUGGUAAGAUGGCGUACCGGCAGAUAUUUGGAUUUAGACUUGCAAUGGAGACUCUGGUUCCGAACCGCUGAUAGAUGUGAAUGUCGACAUGGAGUCCUCUUUAGGCAUAGCAACGAAGUUCAACGGCAUAGUUGAGAGCCGCCUCAUCUCCUUGCUGAAGUACCCAUUAUGUCGACCAGAGUAAGAUCGCGGUGUAAGAAGUUCAGGGGUGGCACUACCAACAGAGAGCCGACGGGGACUAGGGGUCAUGAACCCAUUCCCAUUUCCAUUCGCAUAGUAUCCAUUCGGCUUCCUAUUGAAGCUGUUGUUCUUUUUUGGGCUCGGUCUGGACCCGAACAUCGCUUCUUUCUCAGUAAGCAGCAGAGCCUGUAGCUUCUUCUGGUCCUGCCAUGGGGCAAAUGAAUAAUGAACAAAUUGAAUCCAUCAAGAGGAAAAGGUCAGAAGCAAAUAUAGUUAAAAAGAAAUGGCUACCCGAUAUCGUCUCUUCUCCUCUUCUUUUUGUUGCCGAGUAAGCUUGUACUCUUCUAGAAUAGAUACUAAGCGAACCUGGAACAAUUAUCAAGAAAAGGGGAUUAAAUAUAUUCCAUUAAAAUACAUAUAGAAAGAAGAUCAUAGGAACUGAACACACCCCAUCAUACAGGAAAGGCAUGUUUCUUUCGUCCUCCCAGGCGAAAGUCUUGCUCAUCAGGUUGUCCACCAUAGCUGAAGCAAAGUCAAAAGUCAGGGCCAGAAGUAUUUAUUUCCCAUACUAGAGGGUUUGACGCAACAAUUACCUGGGAUCUUAGUGACUGUAAUCCGUGCUCUCUCCGCCCUUUUAAGGUUAAUAUGCGUACCUCUACUAGCGCUAUACCUGUUCUCGUCCUGCAUUUCAGAAGGUGAAGAGCCAAGUAAAUCAACUUGAAGUUGGUAGAUAAUAGUGAGGUCCCUAAAAAGAGAACUUUUCCCUGCUCCUUUUCAUGAGAAAAACAAAGCACUUCAAACUGAUGAUGAUAGCAUUGGAACAUUCGUAAGGAGAAUAUAAAUUGUGAAUUUUUUUUUGUGUAUGCAUAAUUAGUAUAUAAAAUCAGAAAGAACAUGCUUACUUUGUUGUAUUCUUCAAGCCACUUUUCUUCGUCAGAAGCUGCGAGCCAUUUGUUUAUCCUAUCCAUAAUUUCUUUCCUGCCCAAGGCCUCUUCUUUUGCUUUGACUAUCUGGGCCUCAAUAUUUGCUAGAAGUUCAGAAGGAUCUACAAGACCUGACAACCAAACAUCUUGAGAAAUAAGUCGCAAGCUAGACAAAACACUCUCAGUAAAGAAGCUGAUUUCUGAAAGGAUACCGGAAUCAAUCAAUGCACUAGUUUUCUCAGGUGCGGUGCUAAUGUCAGGUUCUACAUGGGCUCUUUUGCAUAUCUCUUCAAGUUCUGACCUUCUCUUCAGAACAAGCUCUUUCAAUCUUUUGGCCUUUAGCUUUGUCAGCCUCUCGACCUCCGCUUCGGUCUGCCAAAACAGCAAAAAGAAUCUAAGUUUAUAGAAUUGGGCUAGAAUACUGUUAAUAGCACUAAGUCAUUGGUAAUAUAAGGUUUUCUCAUACAAACCAAUUUCCCCAAUGAAUUGGAAAACAACCUUAUUAUUAAGAGUAUUUUGUAAGAAACUCGGCUUUCGAAGGGUAUUACAUGCAAAUUCGGAGUUUACAGAUGCAUAUACCAAAAUAGAUGAUUUCACGGGGAUAGAUGCAAAAAGUCCAUUUACAUUAAAGUGAGCAGAGAACCAUGGAAGGCCACGAAAAGCAAACCUGAUCAAUCAUCUCUUGCGAGAGAACUCCAGAAGAUGUUAUUGUCUCUUCAGGUGAUUGAAUAAUGCUCGUUAAUCUUCCAAAACGCCUCCUCUCUUCGUCCGAAGAAUCCAUUAGUUUCCAGAGUUGGAAUAGUGAUCUGACAGUUUCUCUCAGCUAUAGCAAAAGAAUGUUUCAAGAUAUAACUACAUAUGCAGCAAUAAUAAUCUGAAGGGGUUUUGCAAAAACAAAAUCAACCAUUUUUGGAUUUUUCAAUUUUUACCCACUUCUUUUCUGUUUACUCAGUUUUUGAACAGAAAUAUUCUUUCUGUACGAAAAUGUCCCUGGCUCUCCAAGUGAUGAAAGUAGAUUUCUAUUGCAAAAUAGGCCUAAUUUGAAACUCCCAAGAAUUAUGAUUACCUUUUCUAUCCGGAGUUUUCUUUCUGCCUUUAACUUUUGGACAGCUUGAGCGAGGCCUUCCAAUGUGUUAUUACUAAUGUUUGUCGACUGCCCUGACCCAGUCUCGUGCAGACUGGGGUGCACUUCAUCAACUGUCUUCCUAAAGUCAAGUCCUAGUACGCCGCAUAGAGAAUGCACUUCAUUCACGUACUCCAGAACCUUCUGAAGGCGAUCAGACUGGAAAUAAUGGAAAGAAAAUGUCAAAAAACAUUGUUUGCCUAGAGAAGAAAAGACCAAACUUAUUAUAUGUAAAAUGCAGCUCAUGUACAUGAUAAAUUAUGUUUUAGCUUCACUACUCAAAAUAAAUAGGAACAAAUAGGAAUUUACUGGCCAGGGCAAAAAGAAAGAUUUUGACAAAACAUUAACCUUGCCGACAGAGAUCUUCUAAAGAAUAUUCACGCAUAUCAAGACAGAGAAUCGCCAGACAAAUUCAUUCCUUGUUAAUACAAGUUUUCAAAGAGUCAAAUCAAGAUACUCUGAAUUACGUGCCAAAGAAUUAAGAUAAAACAUGACCUUCCAAAACCACCAAUGCUAUUACGUUUUUAGAUCUCGAUCAAAUCAUAAUGGAGUCUGAAUAAUGGAUUGGCAGCGGAAAGGGAUUAGUUGGGCCGAGGGGAAUAUAUUAAUCGAGGCUUUAUUGUAAUGUACUAAUGGUCAUAAAAUUGUGAAAAAGAUAAACACUUCGUUCGGUUGUUGUAAUUGUUGUUGGGGGUGCUCAAUAUGCUAGAGGGUGGUUCAAUACUACGAUAAAUCUUUGGCUGGAGAAAGGAAUCCAUGCCGGUUGUUGGCAAGGUUUGGCACGUGCCAACAUAUAAAAGAGGGUGUGUGCCAAGGCAUGCUACAACGCUGUGCCUUGCGAAUCGUACACUAGCACGCUCCGUGCCAGUGCCAUGACAAUCCUUGCUUUGGAGGUUGAUCACAUGAAUAAUAACCUUGGGAUAUUUCGGAAGGAAAGAAAAGAGUAAAGCGGAUAGAACAAGUCUAAUGGCUUAUAGAAGGAGUAAGAGAAGAAAACAUAGAUGAGUCAAAUUGUGUGAGACAGAAUCUUUUUGAAAGGAAACUUAUUAUAUGAAUGCAGAUAAAUGUCAAGUUACCCUCUCUUUCUGAAGGGCACGAAAAUCUGCCUGAUACUGAUUAAGCUUCCUUAUCGACAGAUCAUUUUCAUCAACAAUAGGAAUAGUAAUAGCAUCAUUCGGAUGAUUGAAUUCUGUUAUCUCGGCACUGAUCUUCUCAAUCUGGGAUCUUAUAUCAGAAAACUGUUUAAUCCUUUCCUCUUUCUUGGCUCUUAGAUCGUUCAAUAAAGGCGCGACGGUAGCAAGUUGCUCCUUUAACGAUGCCAUCUUGCUGUCUUUCUGCGUACAGAAGUGGAAAAGAAUCAGUAAUCACAAGAUUUUGUAAUUACUACAUUAAAAAAAAAAGAAUGGAAGACACUACAUGGUUAAGUUAAUUGUGGGGUCUAAAGUACCCAUGACAAACUUUAUCGUAAUUCGUAAGUACUAUGAUAGAUGCUUAGCACCAUGAUCAAUGGGCAACACUUAAAUGUUGAAAAAAGAAUCAUUGAACCGACCGUUAUCACAAAUGUAGAUGUUACAUAUUAACAUCUCGCAACUACGAUCUAUAUGUAAGACGUGCUAGAAUUGACAGUAAAGGUAGUUAAUAAGCGGUAUCAUAACUCCACAGUAGUAUUCUGCGAGAGUUUAUGAUGCUUUCUGAUGUUUACAUAGCAUCGUGUAAUAUGGAUGGAGAUGAAACUAUCCACAAUAUCAGUCCAGUACGAUUCAGCAUGGAUUUCGCUGAUGAAACCUCCAAACUUUUUUCUCAACAUUUAAUAUCAAGAAUCAGCAGUAAACCAGAGGGAUUCGGAGGAGUAUUGAGGGGAGAAACUUAGGUGACAAUCACUAAUUGAUAUCGAUGCGCUACAUUAAACAUCAUGCAAAGUACGAAAGACGGUAAAUCAAGUUAGUGCAUACUGCUUAGAUGUAAGCAUAAACUGAUACAUAUAAUGCACUAUUCAACAACUGAGCUAAAAAAUGUACAUGUAGGCACAUAUAUCGAAGGCUACAUAAUGUACCUUCAGAUGCAGCAUGUGCUCCCCGAGGGAGGCAAGGAGAGCUGCGACCUCCGCUUCUUUAGCCGCCAGAGACUGGAGGAGCUGCGCCUUCACCCUGCUCGCGUCGUCCACUUUCUUUUGAUAUACUUUCAAGCAUUCUCUCUCGAUUUCCGACAGCAUGCGAUCCUUGUCGCCCUCGCUCUCUCCUAUCUCUGCCCAGAUAUGCUGUUUCCAAACAAUUAAGAGUACAUCAAUACAUGGUCUAUAACAGAUUUCUUAAUCAAUGGAUGUGUGAGUUUAUUCUUAUAUAAUCAAUAAUCAACAAGUAGAGACACUAAAAAUGAAAACAAAAUAAAAGAUUAAUUACUGCAAGUAUAAAAAUUAGAACAAAGUAAAAAGUAAUUGUAGUAAUUUAGACCCUACAGGAACAAAUCAUCAUGUUAGAACGUUCCUAAUUAAAAAGAAAAAUACAAAUAAAAAUAAAAGGUUUUACACAACCUAAUCAUGAUUUUUUGCUAAGUCCAUUUAAAAAGUUAAUUACCUUUCAUAUAAGUACAUUGAAAGGAAUCAAAGUACAGAAACAAAACAAUUGAGACACUUGUAAAGGAAAAGUCUCUUUGCCAAAUAGAGCAUUUAAAACAAAAACAAACAGAAAAUUAAAGAAAAGGCAAAAAAAAAGGAAAGUUUUAAACAAAUUACUUUCUUGUAAUAAAAAGUUUCAAACAAUUAAAUCUUUACUUUCUUGAGAAUAUACAUAAUUCUUGACUAAGAAAUGAAAAUCAUAAGAACUAUAUUCAUUUGAUUCAGAGUAUAAAAAUGGAAAAACAAAAAAACACUUGAGAAAUGAAAGAGGAAAACCAUUUCCUUUAAAAUUAGAGCGUUUUAAAGAAGAAAAAAAAAACCCAACAACCUAAACUAAAGAAGUCAAUAUCAGAAAGAAAGGAAAAAAAAAAAAAAAAACCAAAAACUAGUUUGCAAAAACAAGAAGAUUAUUCAAGAAAUGGGGGGGGGGAGAGAGGGAGAAAGAGAAAGAAGCAUCACAAUCUCCAAAACCAAGAAGAGUCUACAUGUACCUCAAAACCCAAAACAAAGAGAAAGGGAAACCCCCAAACAGAGUCCCUGAGAACCAAAGAAGCAAGAUAAUAGCCAUUGAGAGAGAGAGAGAGAGAGAGAGAGAGAGACCUGUAGCUCUCUGAGCAAAGCUCCACAGCUUGUAUCCAUGCCCACACUAGUGAGGCUCCCUCCCCCAACGCCAAUCCCCACCAUUUCCCAAGCCCAAAACCCCCCAAACCCCAAAACCAAGAACCUAAAAAGAGAAGAGGAGGCCAAAACACACAACAAAAGGACAAAUUUUUACAAAGCCCACGACCUAAAGAACACCAGAGGGAGAGAGAGAGAGAGAGAGAGAGAGAAAGUGAGAGAGAGCUAGGAAGAGAGAGAAAGAGGAGAAGGGAGGUGACAUAGAAGAGGAAAGUAGAGAGAGAAAAAAAGCAGCAUUUUUUUUUUGAGCUCCUCCUCCUCCUCCUCCUCCUCCUCCUGUCUCUUGGGAUAGAAAGGGGGACAAAAAUGGGAGCUUUUUAGAGGAAUCGGAAUGAGAUAUGCAAACCCAAUAAAGCAAAGAUUAGGUACUCUUAAUUGUAAGCUGGGGAAAAGAGAAACGCUGGUGUAGUGAGCGAGAAAGGUUAGAGAAGAGGAAGAGUCAAAGAAGGGAGCUUUUUUAUUUAUAUAUGUACAUAUAAAUUUCUUGAUCUUUUUCUUCUGGGGGGUGAGGAGAAAAGAAAGGAAAGUUAAGAAAGGGACUGAGGUGGGCUUUUUGGUGGGUAGAGAGAAAAGAGGAGGGAGGGGGUGCUGAGGAGAAAACAGCAGUCAAUAGGCUUUUAGCAGUCUGCUGUUGCAAAAGGUGAAUGGGCAAAAGAAUCACUGACAGGUGCUGGGGCUCCCCCUGCAGGUUUGUAGUGUUCUGCUGCUGCUGCCCUGAAGGCUCAAGCUUUUGCAGUUGAGAUUUCCUGGAAAUACUGCCUUUUCUUUUUUCAGAUAGAAAUGCCAGCAGGCAUGGAAAUUAAAUACAUAUUUUUCAUUAAAUUAGGAAUGAGUACUGCUGUGUUUUCUCACAAUAUUAUCCCCAUAUCAAUAAUAUAUAAAGAUAAUUUUGUAGAGAUCUAAAUCAUCUCCCUAAUAAUUUAAAAAUAUUAUUAUAGCAGCUCCUUUGGUAAAAUUUACUUUAAAGAAUAAAAUAAGAAAGAUUGUUUAAAAUAUAAAAAUAUUUAGGCGAUUUAUUCUCUCCACAGAUCCUUUGGCUAGAAAAAUAUCAGAGAAAGAAAGUCGAGAUUUUUUAAAUUCAUAUCUAAAUUCAAAAAAUUAAGUACUUUCAUGUGCCAGAGAACUAGAAUGAACAGCAAACAUUCUAAGAGAGUACUUCUCGCAAUACUGAAAAUUUUUGUGUAUUAUUUGAUUGAGAUAUCCGUCAAACUAAGGGAUCAAUUGUUAGUCCUAUAUCUUACUUUUCAUCUGAUUACCAUAUGUAAUUGUCGAAAAAUUUGGAUUCUGACUUUUGAACGAUCUGCCUGAUUGACUGACUGUGUUCAAUUCGUGUUCUAUUUAUGAUAAAAGUUGAACUAAAGUGAUUAAUUUUCUUAGUCGGUAAAAUUCAUAAUCUUAGAAUUUACAUAAAUUUUUUUUACGAUUCAUUGAUAAAAAAACCUAAUCUCAAAAUUCUUUUCUUAUCAGAAAAUAAAUGUCACAUCAAAUAAAUAGGAACCUGUCCCAUAUCUUGUUGGUGGAGGGUUAAUUUGCAAAAGUACAAUUUCCAAUAUUUGGCCCCGGAAUAUACGGGUUCUAAUUGUCGACGAAUUUAUGCGUAAGAUGGCCUAAGCCACACGGGUUAAUUCAAUCGUUAGAUUUUGACAGAAUUCGGACGGUGCGGAUUCAUUAUAUUAAAAAUUAACGGCUGAACGAACUCCAUGCGUAAAAAAUUCUACGCACAAAAUUAUCGAAAAUUUACUUCCAAAUAUGUGACCAUGAACUAUGCAUUGCCUAUUUAUUGCAUACAGUUCCUAAAUAAUCGUUACUCUUUGCUCUAUUUUUUUGUUUAUUUUAUAACUUUUAAUUAAAUGUUGGUCUAUUUUUGAAGGAGCAAUACAAUAUUGGCACUCUAUUAGCAAUGACCAAUCAUAAUCAAUUAUUUAGAAAUGCCACUAAUGGUAGUUAAGAAUGAGAUAUCAUAUUAGAGAAGAGAUGCUUUAAAUUCAUAUAUUUCAUUUUCCAUAUCCUGUUUUAUAUCCUAGUGUCGUCACUUGUUGAAUAAAAUAUUAAUGUCCUUUUCAUUAAUAUUUAAAUUUUUAAAAUAAAUAAUUAGUUUAUUUAAUAUUAAAAUAUUUUCUAUAUUUGCCAACACAAUAAUAAUGUAUAGGUGGCAUUUCUUUCUUGAUUCAGUUCAUAUAUACAAUUCAAGAUUCCAUGCGUGUUCAUCAGCAUAUAUAUUAAUACCUAAUAGAAUAUUUUUUUAAUGAGAACUAACAUUACUUUUGUUAGUAAAAAAAAAAAAAAAUCAAAUUAUGGAAAGAAAAUAUUUUAGUUUUUGUGACUUUACUGUUAUGAAUUGUUGAUAUAUUGAUAAAAUUUUUAACUAUGUGUCUGAAGCGAUCGAAAUUCUUUACGGUAUCGUUUGGUUUGGUUCGGGAAUAAACAAAAAGUGACUAUUCCAGAAAUAGGUAUAUAUUGAGGUAUAAGCGAGGAUUAGAUUAAUUCUGCGUUUGGAUGAAAAUUGGGUUAUUCCUGGGAAUAAAAAAAAUAGCGUUUAGUUAGCUAAGAUGGAAUAAGAAGGAUAGUGAGUUUUAUAAAUAAAAAAGUAAUGAUAUUAUUCUCUUAUUAUAUUUGAAUUUGAAUUUUUAAAAUUUUAAAUUUAUAUUUUUAAAUUUAAAAUUUUAACUUUGAAAUUUUAAAAUUUGAAAUUUAAAAUCUCAAAUUUUAAAUUCAAAAUUUUAAAUUUUAAAUUUCAAACUUUAAAUUUAAGAUCAAAUUUAAAUUUGAAAAAUAUAAACUCAUCAAAUUUUAAAUUUCAAAAAUUUAAAAUAUCAAAUUUAAAUUAUAAACUUUAAUUUUGAGAUUAUAAAUUAUAAAUUAUAAAAUUUUUAAUUUUUAUUUUUAAAUUUUAAAAUAAGAAUAAGGGUGGGAACAAUUAAUAAAAUAAUUAUUAUAAAUUUAUUAUAAUAUUUAAAUAUAAAUAAUAUGUAUUAAUAUAUAGUAAAUUAAUAAUUUUAUAUAAAAUAAUGUAUUAUAAUAUAUCACUAUUAUAUUUUAUAAUUUAGUUUUAAUUCAAUUUAUAAUUUUAAUUAAGUUUGAAAUUAAGAAUUGGAAUAGCACUAUUCACCAAAAUGGUGGAAUAGCAAACCCUUGCUAUUCGGAAUUACUGGGAAUAGCAAAUUUGACUAGAAUAAAAUAUCUCGCAAAUUUAUUCGUUUAGCGGAAUAGCGGGAAUAACUUUCGUUAUCCUAUUUAUCCACACCAAACGGGCCGUAUACACACACACACACACACACUACACACACACAUAUAUAUAUAUAUAUAUGUGUGUGUGUGUGUGUGUGUAUACGGCCCGUUUGGUUGGGGGAUAAAUAGGGAUAACGAAAGUUAUUCCCGCUAUUCCGCUAAACGGAAUGAAAUUUGGCGGAGAUAUUUUAUUCUAGUCAAAUUUUGCUAUUCCCAGUAAUAUGUGUGUGUAUAUAUGUGUGUGUGUGUGUGUGUGUGUGUGUGUGUGUGUGUGUGUGUUUGUUAAAGAAAAAAAUAUUAUUCAAAACCAGUGGCGGUGCUCAGGUAGGAAUUAAAAAAAACUUGGACUUAAACAACUUAUUUUGGGGGCAACCAAAAUCCUUUAAGUAACGCACGUCCAACUGGGGACAUAUUUUUGAGUAUGUUUAUUUCACCGAAUGUUAAAAAAAGAUGUGGUUGUUUUUAGUAUAAAUGCUCAUCGUUGUUUAGUUCAAUAAAAAUUUGUAACUCUAUUUUUUCAAAAUACUAUAAUUGAUUUUGUUUUUUGUUUUUUGUUGCAGUAAAGUCAAUUAUGAGAAAGAAAGAGAUAGAAAAAAAGAAUUAGAAAUUAACUGGUGUAAAUUUUGUUACACCCACUUAUGUGCUAGUGUAAAAAUUUAGUAAAAUAGAAACAAAGUUGGGAUCACUUGAGUUCUAAAGUUAUUAGCUUUCUAUCAAAUAAAUUGUAACUUUUUAUCUAAAUUUUAAUUGAACUAAAGAUUAUUUUCAACAUAAAACCUAGUGACAGACAAAUAAACAGAUACUUAUUGUGUUUAUUCUAUUUAUAAAAUUAGAAACUACAAACUUUUCUCAUGCCCUGUUUGAAAAAAUGUGAAUCUAAUUCAGAGUUAUUUUUCUCAAUAGUAUUAUACUUACUUAAACAACAUUAUCUUAUUUGAAAAAAAUUCAUAGAAUGGGCAUUUUUUUUUUUGUUUUACCCCAAAAUUACAUAGAAAUAAAAUUAUUUUGUUAUAUUUUGUAAUAUUACAAAAGCCAACCAAAUAAUUCUACGAUAAAAAUACAAUACUAGUCAAAAUACUCUGAUUUUAAUAAAUCCCUCACUUUUUAAGGUUUCCAAACAAAACCUUAUUGUGCUUGUGUAAAAUGCACUUUAUAACUUCAUUAUGACAAAAAAAUAUCCUAACCCAUAAAUAUUAUCUUACUUAUGUUGUACAAAAACUUGUACCACUCUAAAGAGUGUAGUUUUGCUUUUGCAAUAACAACAAGAAAGCUACCUAACAAUGAUUAUUUGGGAUUUCUCUUUUUUUGUACCAACCAAAGCAUUUAAUAAGAGAACAUAUUCUCCAAACAACCAUUAGAGCUCACCAAAUGCUAUUCCAACCAAAGCAUUAAUAAGAGAACAUAUUCUUCAAACAACCAUUAGAGCUCACCAAAUGCUAUUCAAAAACUAGAAUUUGUAAACUCAACAGUUCACACCAAAUUUUGGUAGAGAUAUGGAAACACACAGACAUUUAGCUAGCAUUUGUCUCCCAAUAAAAAACUCAAAAUAAUUUAGCAAAUAGAUGUUUAUAAAUGGAAAAACAUGUGGAGAGACUCUCUGAACUUCAUUAAUUUUGCAAAUAACUGCAUACACUUUUAAUUUUGACAAUAAAGCACUCCUAACUUAAUCAAAUAGUAUAUUUAAUAGCUAUUUUGAUUCUGUAUCUUACAUAUGAUAUGAGUUGUAUAACUUUUAAAAUACAAAAAAGAAAUCUUUUUUUUUCUUUUAUUAUUGUGAUAACUAAAUUUAAGAUAUGAAGGAUAAUGUGAAUCCAUUUUUAACUUUAUUACUUUUUUACCGACCAUCUCUAGCACAAGUGGCAAAGUGUUUGAUGAUUGGUAUCCGAUGUUCCGAAUUUAAAUCCUAAUUGAUUUACAUUCCAGUUAAAUUUAUUUCUAAAAAAAUAAACAAAGCGGGCAGCAUGAUGCCUUUCUCUAAAAAAAAAAAAAACUUUAUUGCUUUUUUCAUAUGUUAAAAUAAAAAAAAAUUUUAUAUAUAUAUAUAUAUAUAGAGAGAGAGAGAGAGAGAGAGAGAGAGAGAGAGAGAGUUCGGCUGGGAUGUUAUCGAUAGCACGAAAUAUUUGGUGCUAUCAGGUUUUCUGCCGUUAGAUUUACCUCUUUUAUUAUUUUUAUCCGUUUGAUUAUAAUAUUCAACUAACCACCCACUCAACCCUAGGAAACCCACAUCAUCCUAACCGCACAUUUUUUAAUCUAAGUAUAGAAACUUAAUAGCACCAAGUCAUUGGUACUAUUAAUAGUAUUCCAGCCUAGUUAUAUAUAUAUAUAUAGAGAGUAGGGCUGCUUUGCUCUCAGGAACACGGAGGCCUCCGUGCUCCUGAGCCAUUUUCGAUUAUGAAAUUUCCGAAUCGACGAUCGGCUCCGUUAGACUUGAUCUAGCAUAUUUGAAGUUUCUAGAAAAUAAUUUUUGCGAUUUUUGAUAUCAUUUACCUAGCAAUCGAAAGGAUUCAAAAUCAAUAAUUUUUAACGGCUGAAAAUAAAAAUCCUAUAAUAAGUGGUGAUAUAGUACUAAAAUUUUCGAUCAGAAAUGUUGAUCUUGUUGUAGAUAGUAUAAAGAAUUUUGUAUCAAAAUUUCAUCUGAUUUGAAUACUUCUAUACCGUUAAAUUUGAAAACAGCAGAUAUCAAAAUUUCAUUUGAUUUUAAAUCCUUUCGAUCACUAGGUAAAUGAUAUCAAAAAAUCGCAAAAAUUAUUUUCUAAAAACUUCAAAUACCCUAGAUCAAGUCUAACGGAGCCGAUCGUCAAUUCGAAAAUUCCAUCAUCGAAAAUGGCUCAGGAGCACGAAGGCCUCCGUGCUCUUGAGAGCACAGCAGCCCUACUAUAUAUAUAUAUAUAUAUAUAUAGAGUUGAGCUAGAAUACUAUCGGUAGUAAACGAGCCGUUUUACUAUCGAUUUGUUUUCGAUGAUAGAGCUUCCAAAUUGACGAUCG